AAACAAGAGUCUGGCCAAUCAGAAACUCUCACCGCAGCGUCUGAGAGUUGUCAAAGUUCUUCAUGCUGGAGGUGUGUGUCAGUCUGUGCUGUAUGGACUACCGCUAAUCAUCAGACCAACCUCAUGCUGGCAGCUGGACUGGGAUGAAAUGGAGACAAACCAGCAGGCAUUUCAUGCUCUCUGCCACAUUCUAAAAAUCCGUGACUGGUUCCUUUUGGUGCGUUUAGAGUCGGGGGCAGGUUCAGGUUCUGCAGUGUUCUCUUACUAUAUGCUUCAGUCCUCUGGUUCAGUCUCUCUGCUUCUGAAGCCUGUGCUGACACGAGAACUUAUGCUACCCUGCUGCCUGCCUGUCUCAGUGGAGGACCCACCAC